rnacentral:tRNA from 1 species
UAGAAUUUGGUGUACUGGUAGCACGAAGAUUUUUGAAUUCUUAAGAGUAGGUUCGAGACCUAUAGUUCUAG